GUUUAUAAUUAGUGAAGAGAUGAAAAUAAUGAAACUGUAUGGUGCAGAAAGUGUUUUUUUCAUUGCAGUUUCUGCUGCUGGGAAAGCGGUAUAUCACUAUGGCUUCUGUACCGUGAUUAGUCACUCUUUUUCGCAUCGGUCCCUAUUUUCGGUUAUCAUUUCGGUGGCUGCAUUCCGUAUCGGUGACGUUCGACGUUUGAUAGUUCAUCAAAUAGUAGCGCUGUUAUUUGGUCAAUUUGGUCACCUGUCAGCUGCGCUACUGUUUUAGCAGCGCGUUUAGUAGCGACCGGUAAAGUGUCAAGUAAUGAUACUGCGCUGAAAAACGGUUUAUACUCACCACCGAAAUGAAGCUUAUGAUAAAUAAAAUACUGCUGCUUGCUGGUCACUGAUUGAAGAUCGUUCAGUGGCUACCAUUGGCCAAUCUCACCAAUGGGAUAUAAUAAGAACUGAUGCAGGUUUAUAUCUAUGUGUAUUGUCUAUUCGGAACAAAGUUAGUACGCUUUUAAA